GAUGAACGCUGGCGGCGCGCCUAACACAUGCAAGUCGAACGAUUAAAGCACCUUCGGGUGUGUAUAAAGUGGCGAACGGCUGAGUAACACGUGGGCAACCUGCCCCUUUCAUUGGGAUAGCCACGGGAAACCGUGGAUAAUACCGAAUACUUCGAGACUUCCGCAUGGAAGACUCGAGAAAGCUCCGGCGGAGAGGGAUGGCCCGCGGCCUGUUAGCUUGUUGGUGGGGUAACGGCCUACCAAGGCAAUGAUGGGUAGCUGGGUUGAGAGACCGACCAGCCAGAUUGGGACUGAGACACGGCCCAGACUCCUACGGGAGGCAGCAGGGGGGAAUCUUGCACAAUGGGCGAAAGCCUGAUGCAGCGACGCCGCGUGCGGGAUGAAGGCCUUCGGGUUGUAAACCGCUUUCAGCAGGGACGAGGCGAAAGUGACGGUACCUGCAGAAGAAGCCCCGGCUAACUACGUG
rnacentral:rRNA from 1 species